UCCGGUAUUCCGGGGGGCAUGCCUGUUCGAGCGUCAUUACAACCCUCAAGCUCUGCUUGGUGUUGAGCCCGCCCCGGCCUGCCCGGGGCUCGCUUCAAAGUCAGUGGCGGCCGCCGUCCGACCUUCAGCGCAGUAAUGCUCGCCGCUGUUAGGGAAGGGUAGCAAGGGCCGUCAUACAACCCCCACACACAAGGUUGACCUCGGAUCAGGUAGGGAUACCCGCUGAACUUAAGCAUAUCAAUAAGCGGAGGAAAAGAAACCAACAGGGAUUGCCUCAGUAACGGCGAGUGAAGCGGCAACAGCUCAAAUUUGAAAGCUGGCUCCUUCGGGGCCCGCGUUGUAAUUUGUAGAGGAUGUUUCGGGCGCGGCACCGGUCUAAGUUCUCUGGAACGAGACGUCAUAGAGGGUGAGAAUCCCGUAUGUGACUGGCCGCCUGUGCCCAUGUGAAGCUCCUUCGACGAGUCGAGUUGUUUGGGAAUGCAGCUCAAAAUGGGAGGUGUACUCCUUCUAAAGCUAAAUAUUGGCCAGAGACCGAUAGCGCACAAGUAGAGUGAUCGAAAGAUGAAAAGCACUUUGGAAAGAGAGUUAAACAGUACGUGAAAUUGUUGAAAGGGAAGCGCUUGCAAUCAGACUUGCGCGGCGUCGAUCAGCCUGGGUUCUCCCUGGUGCACUCGGCGCCGCUCAGGCCAGCAUCAGUUUCGGCGGUGGGAUAAAGGCCUAGGGAACGUGGGUCCCCUCGGGGACCGUUAUAGCCCUAGGUGCAAUGCCGCCUGCCGGGACUGAGGACCGCGCU
rnacentral:rRNA from 1 species